AACGCGAAGAACCUUACCCAGACUUGACAUACAGUGGAAGUUAGCAGAAAUGUUAACGCCCUUCGGGGCCGCUGAACAGGUGCUGCAUGGCUGUCGUCAGCUCGUGCCGUGAGGUGUUGGGUUAAGUCCCGCAACGAGCGCAACCCUUAUCCCUAGUUGCCAUCGGGUCAAGCCGGGCACUCUAGUGAAACCGCCCAGGAUAACUGGGAGGAAGGUGGGGAUGACGUCAAGUCCUCAUGGCCUUUAUGUCCAGGGCUACACACGUGCUACAAUGGUCGGUACAAACCGUCGCAAACCCGCGAGGGGGAGCUAAUCGGAAAAAGCCGGCCUCAGUUCGGAUUGGAGUCUGCAACCCGACUCCAUGAAGCUGGAAUCGCUAGUAAUCGCGGAUCAGAACGCCGCGGUGAAUACGUUCCCGGGCCUUGUACACACCGAGACGUA
rnacentral:rRNA from 1 species